AGCUGAAUUGCUGGGCAGGGUCUCCUUUGGCAGAUGUCACCGCCGUCGGGGUCGUCUCCUGGCUGCUGCCAAAGGAAAUUUGCCCCGGAAUUCAUCU
rfam:Hordeum vulgare subsp. vulgare, WGS project CAJW01000000 data, contig: morex_contig_161278